AACGAACGCUGGCGGCAUGCCUAACACAUGCAAGUCGAACGAGACCUUCGGGUCUUGUGGCGCACGGGUGCGUAACGCGUGGGAACCUGCCCUUAGGUUCGGAAUAACUCCCCGAAAGGGGUGCUAAUACCGGAUAAUGUCUUCGGACCAAAGAUUUAUCGCCUUUGGAUGGGCCCGCGUUGGAUUAGCUAGUUGGUAGGGUAAAAGCCUACCAAGGCGACGAUCCAUAGCUGGUCUGAGAGGAUGAUCAGCCACACUGGGACUGAGACACGGCCCAGACUCCUACGGGAGGCAGCAGUGGGGAAUAGUGGACAAUGGGCGAAAGCCUGAUCCAGCAAUGCCGCGUGAGUGAUGAAGGCCUGAGGGUUGUAAAGCUCUUUUAACCGGGAUGAUAAUGACAGUACCGGGAGAAUAAGCUCCGGCUAACUCCGUG
rnacentral:rRNA from 1 species